GACGAACCGUCCGAACGUUAUUCGGAAUCACUGGGCUUAAAGGGCGCGUAGGCGGGACCGUAAGUCAGGGGUGAAAUCCCACGGCUCAACCGUGGAAGUGCCUUUGAUACUGCGGACCUCGAGGUGGGCAGGGGCGUGCGGAACUUCCGGUGGAGCGGUGAAAUGCGUAGAUAUCGGAAGGAACACCGGUGGCGAAAGCGGCUCACUGGACCACAACGUGACGCUGAGGCGCGAAAGCGUGGGGAGCAAACAGGG
rnacentral:rRNA from 1 species